rnacentral:misc_RNA from 1 species
GAAGUGCGAUAAGCAAUGCGAAUUGCAGAAUUCCGCGAGUCAUCAGAUCUUUGAACGCAAAUGGCGCCGGAGGGAUAUCCUUCUGGCAUGUCUGUUUCAGUGUCUGAGAGGUUUCACCAACAUCUUAAUGUGAUUGACAGCAGCAGCAGCAGCAAGCAAUUGUUGUGGUUGGUGUUGUCUCUCAUGAAAGAUGCGCGAGUGGAUCUUUCGGUCCAAUGAAGUGGUCACAUCACUCGUAUGUGAUUUCAUUGGGAGCACCGAAUUAUCCGCCAUGCUCGCGGUGUCAUCAUAUAAUAUAUGACGAAAGCAAGAAAGAAAGAAAGAGCUUCUUUCUUCUUCUUCUUCUUUGGUUGUAUUUUUUUUCUCUCUCUACACCCUGCAUCUGAGAUAGGCAAGAUCACCCGCUGAACUUAAGC